GACGAACGCUGGCGGCGUGCCUAAUACAUGCAAGUAGAACGAGUUGCGAACGGGUGAGUAACGCGUGGUAACCUGCCUCAUAGCGUGGGAUAACUAUUGGAAACGAUAGCUAAUACCGCAUACUGUGAGAUGGACCUGCGUUGGAUUAGCUAGUUGGUGGGGAAAAGGCUCACCUAGGCGACGAACCCUAGCUGGUCUGAGAGGGUGACCGGCCACACUGGAACUGAGACACGGUCCAGACUCCUACGGGAGGCAGCAGUGGGGAAUAUUGCACAAUGGGCGCAAGCCUGAUGCAGCCAUGCCGCGUGUAUGAAGAAGGCUUUCGGGUUGUAAAGUACUUUCAGCGAGGAGGCGUUACUCGCAGAGGAAGCACCGGCUAACUCCGUGCCAGCAGCCGCGGUAAUUC
rnacentral:rRNA from 1 species